CAGGCUUGCCCUCCCACGCCACGCGCCGAUAGUUGCAAGACGCCGCCGCCCGGGAUGCCCGACGUUCCUGCAAGCGGGGGCUGGCCCGCCGUGAUGGCAGUGCGCUCAGGGAACGCCUCGCAGGCGAGCUCGCCAACAUCCCCCAUCCGACCAACCUCUGGGCGCCGAUGCGGAGGCGCUGUGGCCAGAUCCAACCGCAACUUACCAAUCUCUGAGGAGCUUGUUUUAACAGCUUUAUUUUGAGUUAAGGGAGCAUCCUAUGCUGGUUUAAGACGAUGGGCAGCUUAACUUCCUGUAGCGUCUUACUUGAACAGUAUGAUUUGAGCCGGCCAGCUCAGGAAGUCUGAAAACGAUAAGCAUGAUCGACAACAACUUGAGCACAACAGAAAAGAUUGAUUACGCCAUCAGGUAUAAUGUACAUUUUCUAAUCUUUUGUUAGUGCACACAUCAAAGUAAGCUACCACUCGAUGUAAGUGCUCCAGAUCAGGAGCAAAAUUAUUCAUGCACAGUUCGAAGACAGCAUGACUUGUCCAGCAUCACAAACAGAGUAAAAAGAGUUUUCUUCUGAUCAAGAAAAUUCAGAUACAUAAAAAUAUCCGAAGCAAAGACAUGAAUAGUUUUCUUAUUGAUAACGCAAUAUAUCACGCAAAAGAGGAGAGCUCCUCCGAUACAGCGCUACACAUGCGAGGGAUGGCAAUGAAAUGAUGAAACUGGAGCGGGCCGUACCAGCUCUUUUUUCUUACAGGAGGCCAUAUCAACUCUGUUUCCCCGACGUUACUGUUGGGGUUUCGCAUGGUGAUAUGACCUUAUGAGCAAACCUUCGGCAUUCUCGUCCCAUUUUCAGUUACACACUGGAGAAAGGAGCUCGUACAGUCAACAAGAAACGAGGAGCUUUAUUGUGCCUCACUUUGAUGAGAAUUUUUAUCGUGCCUCACAGGCUCCAGCAAGCUUCAGGAUCAGCUUGAAA